rnacentral:sRNA from 1 species
UAUGAAGGAAGCCCCACUAAAACCUGCCACGUCCUGUGGCAGACGUGGGAUCAACACAUCUUGUGCA